rnacentral:rRNA from 1 species
GACGUAGGGUCCAAGCGUUGUCCGGAUUUACUGGGCGUAAAGAGCGCGUAGGCGGCUCGUUAAGUGUGAAGUGAAAUCUCCAGGGCUCAACCCGGAAACUGCUUCGCAUACUGGCGAGCUGGAGUGACGAAGAGGUUUGUGGAAUUCCUGGUGUAGCGGUGAAAUGCGUUGAUAUCAGGAAGAACACCCGUGGCGAAGGCGGCUCUCUGGGACGGUACUGACGCUGAGACGCGAAAGCGUGGGGAGCGAACAGG